rnacentral:rRNA from 1 species
GCGAACGCUGGCGGCAGGCCUAACACAUGCAAGUCGAACGGAUCCUUCGGGAUUAGUGGCGGACGGGUGAGUAACACGUGGGAACGUGCCUUUUGGUUCGGAACAACUCAGGGAAACUUGAGCUAAUACCGAAUGUGCCCUUCGGGGGAAAGAUUUAUCGCCAUUAGAGCGGCCCGCGUCUGAUUAGCUUGUUGGUGAGGUAAAGGCUCACCAAGGCUACGAUCAGUAGCUGGUCUGAGAGGAUGAUCAGCCACAUUGGGACUGAGACACGGCCCAAACUCCUACGGGAGGCAGCAGUGGGGAAUAUUGGACAAUGGGCGAAAGCCUGAUCCAGCAAUGCCGCGUGAGUGAUGAAGGCCUUAGGGUUGUAAAGCUCUUUUACCAGGGAUGAUAAUGACAGUACCUGGAGAAUAAGCUCCGGCUAACUCCGU